rnacentral:rRNA from 1 species
CCUACGGGGGGCUGCAGUGAGGAAUAUUGGGCAAUGGGCGAAAGCCUGACCCAGCAACGCCGCGUGAGGGAUGAAGGCCUUCGGGUUGUAAACCUCUUUUCUGGGAGAAGAGACAAGGACGGUAUCCCAGGAAUAAGUCUCGGCUAACUACGUGCCAGCAGCCGCGGUAAUACGUAGGAGGCAAGCGUUAUCCGGAUUCACUGGGCGUAAAGCGCACGCAGGCGGUUAUGUAAGUCGGACGUGAAAGCUCCUGGCUCAACUGGGAGAGGUCGUUCGAUACUGCAUAGCUUGAGGUUGGGAGAGGGAAGCGGAAUUCCCGGUGUAGUGGUGGAAUGCGUAGAUAUCGGGAGGAACACCAGUGGCGAAAGCGGCUUCCUGGCCCAUACCUGACGCUCAGGUGCGAAAGCGUGGGGAGCGAACGGGAUUAGAUACCCCGGUAGUC